rnacentral:rRNA from 1 species
UACGUAGGGUGCAAGCGUUGUCCGGAAUUAUUGGGCGUAAAGAGCUCGUAAGCGGUUUGUCGCGUCUGCUGUGAAAACUCGGGGCUUAACCCCGGGCCUGCAGUGGGUACGGGCAGACUAGAGUGCGGUAGGGGAGACUGGAAUUCCUGGUGUAGCGGUGAAAUGCGCAGAUAUCAGGAGGAACACCGGUGGCGAAGGCGGGUCUCUGGGCCGUAACUGACGCUGAGGAGCGAAAGCGUGGGGAGCGAACAGG